rnacentral:snRNA from 1 species
AGCUUUGCGCAGUGGCAGUAUCGUAGCCAAUGAGGUUUAUCCGAGGCGCGAUUAUUGCUAAUUGAAAACUUUUCCUAGCAGCCACAUCAGGCUGCACAUUCUGGAAACCGUAUGCGA